rnacentral:rRNA from 1 species
CGCCAGACUCCUACGGGAGGCAGCAGUGGGGAAUAUUGCACAAUGGGGGAAACCCUGAUGCAGCGACGCCGCGUGAGCGAUGAAGUAUUUCGGCAUGUAAAGCUCUAUCAGCAGGGAGGAAAAUGACGGUACCUGACUAAGAAGCCCCGGCUAACUACGUGCCAGCAGCCGCGGUAAUACGUAGGGGGCAAGCGUUAUCCGGAUUUACUGGGUGUAAAGGGAGCGCAGGCGGUGCGGCAAGUCUGAUGUGAAAGCCCGGGGCUCAACCCCGGGACUGCAUUGGAAACUACCGAACUAGAGUGUCGGAGAGGUAAGUGGAAUUCCUAGUGUAGCGGUGAAAUGCGUAGAUAUUAGGAGGAACACCAGUGGCGAAGGCGGCUUACUGGACGAUAACUGACGCUGAGGCUCGAAAGCGUGGGGAGCAAACAGGAUUAGAUACCCCCGUAA